rnacentral:rRNA from 1 species
UACGUAGGGGGCAAGCGUUGUCCGGAAUCAUUGGGCGUAAAGCGCGUGUAGGCGGCCAGAAAAGUCCGCUGUGAAAACUCGAGGCUCAACUUCGAGCUGUCGGUGGAAACUUUCUGGCUAGAGUCCGGAAGAGGAGAAUGGAAUUCCUGGUGUAGCGGUGAAAUGCGCAGAUAUCAGGAAGAACACCCGUGGCGAAGGCGGUUCUCUGGGCCUGUACUGACGCUGAGGAGCGAAAGCGUGGGGAGCGAACAGG